GAUGAAGAACGCAGCGAAAUGCGAUAAGUAAUGCGAAUUGCAGAAUUCAGUGAGUCAUCGAAUCUUUGAACGCACAUUGCGCCCUGUGGUAUUCCGCAGGGCAUGCCUGUUCAAGCGUCAUUUCAACCCUCAAGCUCUGCUUGGUGUUGGGCCCUGCCCGCUGCGGCCGGCCCUAAAGACAGUGGCGGUGCCGCCUGGCCCUGAGCGUAGUACAUCUCUCGCUCCAGUGCCCGGUGGUAGCCUGCCAGAACCCCAACUCUCGUGGUUGACCUCGGAUCAGGUAGGGAUACCCGCUGAACUUAAGCAUAUCAAUAAGCGGAGGA
rnacentral:misc_RNA from 1 species